GCUAGACCGCGAGGUCAUGCAAAUCUCUUAAAGCUUCUCUCAGUUCGGAUUGCAGGCUGCAACUCGCCUGCAUGAAGCCGGAAUCGCUAGUAAUCGCGGAUCAGCACGCCGCGGUGAAUACGUUCCCGGGCCUUGUACACACCGCCCGUCACACCACGAGAGUUUGUAACACCCGAAGUCGGUGAGGUAACCUUUUUGGAGCCAGCCGCCUAAGGUGGGAUAGAUGAUUGGGGUGAAGUCGUAACAAGGUAGCCGUAUCGGAAGGUGCGGCUGGAUCACCUCCUUUCUAAGGAA
rnacentral:rRNA from 1 species